AAAAGAUCAGGAGGAUGGAGAGGAGACAGACGAGCCAGAGGAGGAAAUGGACCAGUGCCCUUCAGACCCAGAUGUUCCUCCACUGAAGAGAACUGAGAGUGUCUUUCUUACAAAGAAAAUGCUUGGGAUCUCUGAAUAUAAUCAAUGACAAGCAGUGAAAAAAGUGAGGAUGAGUAUGUGCCUAGUUCUACACCAGAAUCAGAAGUAUCUGAGAAAGAACUCAAACUGCUCAAGUCUCCAACAAACUACAGUUCAUCAAACUCGGAUGUUCGACGCUUGAACAAAGGUCGUGUGAAGCCUGUGAAAUGCAGACAGAGCACAUCUUCCUCUUUCCAAUCCAUGGCAGAUUGUGAGUUAUCCGAAUCCUCCAGUGACACGGAUGUAAAAGUCUUGAGGCUAAAAAAGAAAAAAAA